GUGUAGCCGAAGUCCGUAUGAGUCUUUGUCUUUGUAUCCUCUAACAAGGAUAUAAUACUUAGGCUUUUAAGAUCUGGUUGCGA
rnacentral:pre_miRNA from 2 species